rnacentral:rRNA from 1 species
GGUUCGAUUAUGGCUCGAUUGGAACGCUGGCGGGAUGUUUUACACAUGCAAGCCUGAACGGCAGCACGGACUGGUCUGUAAGGAGUGGCGAACGGUGGCAUAAUACCGAAACGCGCUUAGUAGCGGGGAUAAUCUACGCGAAAGGAAGCAAUACCGCAUAUUGUCUCUUCGGGGAAAGCGGGGAUCUUCGGUCACCAUUAGAGCGGCUGAUAUCGAUUAGCUAGUUGGUGUACCGCCACCGGCGCGACUACAUCCAAAGGUUUGGAGAGGACGACCAGCCGUCGACUGACUAGACAAGGCUCCACUCUGCGCCGGAGGCGUUAGGUAAUGGAUGGCCGGGGAAACCUCGAUCCGUGCCAUCCUGGGCGCGUGCGAUGAAGGCCUUGCCAGGUGCCACUUUUGGCAGGAGGCAAGAAACGGCACGCGGAUACUGCCCGCACCGACUAUACUCAGAGAAUACAAUCACACCCACGCCAGCAGCCGCGGUAAUCGCUUUAGGCAAAAGCAAGCAAUCGGAACGACAGCAAACAGGCGCGGCGCAGGCGUCUGGAAAAGGAAAGACGUGAAAUCCUAGAGCUGAAUUUUGAACCGUGAUUUUAACCAUCGAGCCAGAGCGUCAGAGGGAGGUGGAAUCUCGCGUGCAGUGGAAAUGCGCAUAUGCGGAGACCAACGGAUGCUGCAGCUUCUGGGAUAACAACACUGAUUGCUCUAUGCACGAAAGCGUGGGGAGCAAACAGGAUUAGAUCUUGGUAGUCCACGCCUUAAACGAUGUCAACUAGCUGUUGGGGCCUUCGGCCUGUAGCGCAGCUAACGCGAAGCUGACCGCCUGGGGAGUACGGUCGCAGAUUAAAAUCAAAGGAAUUGACGACCCGCACAAGCGGUGGAUGAUGUGGAUUAAUUCGAUGCAACGCGAAAAACUUUACCUACCCUGACAUGUCUGAAUCCCUGAAGAGAUUUGGGGAGUGCUCGCAAGAGAACCAACACAGGCGCUGCACGGCUACCGUCAGCUCGUGUCGCAGAUAAGGUUAAGUCUCAACGAGCGCAACCUUGUCAUUAGUUGCUGCCGAAAGGGCACUCUAUGAUCACGGGCAUAAACUGGAGGAAGGUGGGGAUGACGUCAAGUCCUCAUGGCCCUUGCGGGCAGGGUCGACGUCAUACAAUACCGGGGACAGAGGGUCGCCAACCCGCGAGGUGGGAGCUAACCAGAAACCGAUCGUGUCCGGAUCGCAGUCGCAACUCGACUGUGAAGUCGCAUCGCUAGUAACUGUGAUCAGCAUAGUCGCGGUGAACAUGCCCCGGUCUGCACACAUCGUCGUCACACCAUGGAGGCUUUACCAGGGAAGUAGUUAGCCUAACCGUAAGGAGGCGAUUACCACGGUAGGAUCUGCGACUGGGGUGAAGCCCGUACUGAAGGUAG